rfam:Vigna angularis cultivar Jingnong 6 chromosome 3, whole genome shotgun sequence.
AUGUCUCUCUCGGCCUUUGGGCUAAGUUCAAGUGUAGUAUCGGUCUGUUAUAUCUGAUAGGUGGACUAUUGGUUCACGUGAUAUUAAAUUAAUUGAAAAAAUAACCGUAU